rnacentral:snRNA from 1 species
GUGCUUACUCUGGCAGUACAUAUACUAAAAUUGGAAUGAUACAGAGAAGAUCAGCAUGGCCUAUGCACGAGGAUGAUAUGCAAAUUCGUGAAACAUUCCAUAUUAAA